CGCAGUGGUUAGCGCCUUAGACUACGAACGUUCGGAUCCCGGAUUCAAAUCUCGGCGCCCGUAUUUUUCCGAAGUCCGAUUUUUCUUCCACGACAUCUGAGUAAAAAGAAGAAAAUACAGCAGUACACCGGCAAGCGACAUCUACAGCCAGCAGCUAUAAUUAUCACGGAUAUUUGAAAGAGAAGAUGGAGAAGAUGGAGAGAAAAGGAAAAAAAAAUGUAUUUCGUCCAGAGCCUGCUAGUGGACUCAUCAGUAAGGUUACCCAGCAAACUCAUGUCUUAGACACAAUGGAACAAAUGAAGAGGGAGGAAAGACACAUUAGUGUAUAUACAUGGUAGGAAUAUUGUGCAGUGGGGAUGGUCCUCCCUCCCAUCUUCAAUGUCUCACAUUGUUGCGCAGUAUCCAAGGCCGGAUUUCUUCUACCAAUCUCAAGCCGACGUUUCCCAAGGUUUCGGACAGGCAUCCCCUAACAUUUGGCACAUGGAUGCCCCCUUGGGGGAAUGCUGUGAAGGAGUGCUGCAAGAACAAUAAGAACACCUAUAUUUACAUAUCCAUUCUUCAGCACUCCUUCAAUUCCUCGUCGCCCAUAUCAAUCCCCUCCAUCUUCCUUUCUGUCAAUCCAUGCCCGCUGUGAUGUUAAUGCGAAGAGGAAGGGCGAUGGAUGGAUGUAGGUGGACAAAUAAAGGAAGUGGAGGAAAGAGAGAAAAGUAGUGUUUCGUCCGAGAUCUGCCAGUAUGGACUCUUCAGUAAGGCACAACUAACAGAUCUGUACCUUAGACACUACUGGGAUACGAAAACUUGUGUUGGAGUUAUAUUUAUAAAAACAAACAGUGUCAAUGUGACCACUAGUGAGGAAGCAUUAACAUCGCUAGGAACUAUGUUGAUAUUGAUGGCCCCCUGGUGACAAAUCAUCGCGAUGAAUCGAACUGUUGAAUCUCGGUGACAAAUAACAGGAAUUACGUGCUGGAUGCUAGAGGACCUCUAUUUGCGCGUUCAAUUGCUCGCGUUAGACUUGUACACGGUAAUUAUACAAAAACACGAUACAACGAUUAUUGAAAAAGUAUUGGAUGAACGAAAUGUUGAUGGAAGCUGUUACGAUCGGCAAGUCGUAGACCUCCGUUACAGAUGUUUCUUACAUUUUAAACGUUUUUUGAUUCAACAGAAUUAUGUAAUUGUAAAAGAUCGAUUAUGUAAAAUAAAGUUUCUGAUGGUAUUGUGAAAAA